rnacentral:rRNA from 1 species
AACGAACGCUGGCGGCAUGCCUAACACAUGCAAGUCGAACGAGAUCUUCGGGUCUAGUGGCGCACGGGUGCGUAACGCGUGGGAAUCUGCCCUUUGGUUCGGAAUAACAGUUGGAAACGACUGCUAAUACCGGAUGAUGACGAAAGUCCAAAGAUUUAUCGCCAGAGGAUGAGCCCGCGUAGGAUUAGCUAGUUGGUGUGGUAAAGGCGCACCAAGGCGACGAUCCUUAGCUGGUCUGAGAGGAUGAUCAGCCACACUGGGACUGAGACACGGACCAGACUCCUGCGGGAGGCAGCAGUGGGGAAUAUUGGACAAUGGGCGAAAGCCUGAUCCAGCAAUGCCGCGUGAGUGAUGAAGGCCUUAGGGUUGUAAAGCUCCUUUACCCGGGAUGAUAAUGACAGUACCGGGAGAAUAAGCUCCGGCUAACUCCGUGCCAGCCGCCGCAGUAA